CAGUCGCCGCGGUAAUACGUAGGGGGCGAGCGUUGUCCGAAGUUACUGGGCGUAAAGCGCGCGUAGGCGGCUUCUUAAGUCUGAGGUGAAAGGUUCAACGCUUAACGUGAACAGUGCCUUGGAUACUGGGGAGCUUGAGUAUGGGAGAGGGCAGUGGAAUGGCUGGUGUAGCGGUGAAAUGCGUAGAUAUCAGUCGGAACACCCAUGGCGAAGGCAGCUGCCUGGCCUAAUACUGACGCUGAGGUGCCAAAGCGUGGGGAGCGAACAGGAUUAGAUACCCCGGUAGUCCCUGUCUCUUAUA
rnacentral:rRNA from 1 species